GUUGUAUGGUUAAGUGACUAAGCGUACACGGUGGAUGCCUUGGCAGUCAGAGGCGAUGAAGGACGUGCUAACCUGCGUUAAGCACGGGUGAGCUGGUAAGAAGCGCUUGAGCCCGUGAUGUCCGAAUGGGGAAACCCACUGCACUCAGUGCAGUAUCGUUGCGUGAAUACAUAGCGCAACGAGGCGAACCGGGAGAACUGAAACAUCUAAGUACCCCGAGGAACAGAAAUCAACCGAGAUUCCGUUAGUAGCGGCGAGCGAACGCGGACCAGCCCUUAAGCAGCUUGGGUGGUAGUGGAACGGCCCUGGAAAGGCCGGCCAUAGUGGGUGAUAGCCCCGUACACCAAACCACCCUCGUUGUGAAAUCGAGUAGGACGGGACACGUGAUAUCCUGUCUGAACAUGGGGGGACCAUCCUCCAAGGCUAAAUACUCCUGACUGACCGAUAGUGAACCAGUACCGUGAGGGAAAGGCGAAAAGAACCCC
rnacentral:rRNA from 1 species